UACGGAGGGCGCAAGCGUUAUUCGGAAUUAUUGGGCGUAAAGAGCUCGUAGGCGGUUUGUCGCGUCGGCUGUGAAAACUCGGGGCUCAACCCCGAGCCUGCAGUCGAUACGGGCAAACUAGAGUGUGGUAGGGGAGACUGGAAUUCCUGGUGUAGCGGUGGAAUGCGCAGAUAUCAGGAGGAACACCAGUGGCGAAGGCGGAUCUCUGGGCCAUAACUGACGCUGAGGAGCGAAAGCAUGGGGAGCGAACAGG
rnacentral:rRNA from 1 species